rnacentral:rRNA from 1 species
CCUACGGGCGGCAGCAGUGGGGAAUAUUGGACAAUGGGGGGAACCCUGAUCCAGCCAUGCCGCGUGUGUGAAGAAGGCCCUCGGGUUGUAAAGCACUUUCAGUGAGGAAGAACGCCUGGUGGUUAAUACCCAUCAGGAAAGACAUCACUCACAGAAGAAGCACCGGCUAACUCCGUGCCAGCAGCCGCGGUAAUACGGAGGGUGCGAGCGUUAAUCGGAAUUACUGGGCGUAAAGCGCGCGUAGGUGGCUUGAUAAGCCGGUUGUGAAAGCCCCGGGCUCAACCUGGGAACGGCAUCCGGAACUGUCAAGCUAGAGUGCAGGAGAGGAAGGUAGAAUUCCCGGUGUAGCGGUGAAAUGCGUAGAGAUCGGGAGGAAUACCAGUGGUGAAGGCGGCCUUCUGGACUGACACUGACACUGAGGUGCGAAAGCGUGGGUAGCAAACAGGAUUAGAUACCCCGGUAGUC